rnacentral:rRNA from 1 species
CACGUAGGGGGCAAGCGUUGUCCGGAAUCAUUGGGCGUAAAGAGCUCGUAGGCGGCUCAGUAAGUCGGGUGUGAAACCCUCAGGCUCAACCUGGGGACGCCACCCGAUACUGCUGUGGCUAGAGUCCAGUAGGGGAGUGUGGAAUUCCCGGUGUAGCGGUGAAAUGCGCAGAUAUCGGGAGGAACACCAGCGGCGAAGGCGGCACUCUGGGCUGGUACUGACGCUGAGGAGCGAAAGCGUGGGGAGCAAACAGG